CAGCUAAUGGACUGCAUGACCCUUGUGCUGUGGAAUCACUCUCCCUGAGAUUCAACUUCUUUUUCUGCUUCAGCUUCUAGCAAGGCAUCAUAAAUAACAGGCCUAUAUGAAUCUAACUAUUACAUUUGCCUGAAAGUCUUCACUGAGGACUCUCUUCACUAGAUUCAGUACACAAAGAACAUACUUUUGUCAAGAUUCUAUUUUGCCACAACACUUCCUUUUCGUGCCGAACAUGCAUGAGCUGCACCGCGAUCCUGCGCUCCUGCUGGGACUGACGCAUCAGCCGGUGAAUCAGCUGCUCUUCCCGAUAGGCCUCCUGUGAACACCAGCAUGGGAGCCAAUGACUUACCCAAGCCAAGUCUGGAUUAUCCACUGGACUCAGAAGUCAACGUGCAAAUAAUGUGUGAAAGAAAAAGAGAAGAAUGCAAAAAUGGCCACAUGUUCUUCCCUUCAGUUAUUCAUAGCUCUGCAUUGUGCCCAUAUACAAAUAUCCAACAGAGGAAUCUAUUGUUCUACUCCUUAAAUAUGACAUAUGGUGUGACCAUUAACUUGAACUGAUAACCGAGACAUCAGCCAAAAACAACAACAACAACAACAACAACAACAAAAGCCAUGAAACAGCAACAAAAACCAAAGCAACAACCAUAAAAACACCAAAAGGCCCUUGAGGUUUGACCUCUAAAACUCUUGUUACAGUCACUGAAUACAUGGCCUGAGCUACUAGAAAAUGAAAACUUUAAGAGAAGGUACUUUGCUUCUGAGCAGGACCUCAUCAGGUUUUGGGGGUCAGCCAGCUCUAGCAAGCCACCAGCUGAUGCCUUAACAGCCCAGCCAAGAGGAGCAGAGAAGUACAGCUGAGCCCACCCGCUGG